rnacentral:lncRNA from 1 species
UCCACACUGAUUCCUGUUUGGUUUGGCAGGGUGAGCUGCUGGCAGACGUCCUCGGUGCUGAAUUCUCCAUACUCCACUGUGCAGGGGUUACUGAAAUAACAACCAGCUUUCCCUCAGACGUGGAACACGAGCCAAGUGUGACACAAAUUGUGAAAUUUGUUUCUGGUUACCGGGAAAACUUAAAGAAAUCCCAAUGAAGCAAAAAGGUCGACAAAAUUCUCUCCAACAUUUGAACAAAAAAGGUAUUUUUCGGGUCUUAGAUUUAUGGGAGUCAAUGCUCCAGCUCCCAGCCAGACUUUCAAACCUCCUAUUCUUUGCACUACAUUAUUUAAACACACUGUAAAUACCCUUA